UGGGGAAUAUUGGACAAUGGGCGAAAGCCUGAUCCAGCCAUGCCGCGUGUGUGAAGAAGGUCUUCGGAUUGUAAAGCACUUUAAGUUGGGAGGAAGGGCAUUAACCUAAUACGUUAGUGUUUUGACGUUACCGACAGAAUAAGCACCGGCUAACUCUGUGCCAGCAGCCGCGGUAAUACAGAGGGUGCAAGCGUUAAUCGGAAUUACUGGGCGUAAAGCGCGCGUAGGUGGUUUGUUAAGUUGGAUGUGAAAUCCCCGGGCUCAACCUGGGAACUGCAUUCAAAACUGACUGACUAGAGUAUGGUAGAGGGGGGUGGAAUUUCCUGUGUAGCGGUGAAAUGCGUAGAUAUAGGAAGGAACACCAGUGGCGAAGGCGACCACCUGGACUAAUACUGACACUGAGGUGCGAAAGCGUGGGGAGCAAACA
rnacentral:rRNA from 1 species